ensembl:lncRNA
UUUGCCAUGCUUCUUUUAUUGAAACCCAGACCUGCUGUGGGUUCCAUUACUGUAGAUGACAUCCAUGUGCCAUACUGCACGGACGUUUCAUAAGUUUGGUCCUUACAAAAUAAGAAUUUGGGGGAAGAGAGAGAGAGAGUGUGCACUCAGACAUUUUCUUUUUUAGUUGGAGAACAUCUGUAUUUAUUUCACCAUACCACUAAUUUGGGGUGUGUGUUUGCACCCGGGAUGCCACUGUACAAUUACAGAAGGAGGAAGGAGGGGGAGCUCGAGACAACUCGAGCCCAAGCAGUGGAUGUUGCACAACCACGAUCUUGUGUAAGUCCUCCUCACGUGGACCAGACACUCACAAGCAGGAUUUCGAAGUCGCCGUGUGUCAUUGAGGUAGCUUCCAGUCAUAGGUGUGAGGUGAUGUCAUUGUGUUAGCAGUGUGCCAUCCCUGAUCUGAUGACAGAAUAUUGUCUUUCCUGCCCUGGUGCCAGAGAUGUCCCAUAGGUCAAACAAUACACAAUACCCACUGGCCUGUCUGCAUAGCCCAUCACUAGCAUCAGUGUUCAACUGCUAAUAUGACAGAACUUCUUAUGUUCCAUCAAACUUGUUUUACUGCCCCAGAGAGUUCAGAAGGAUUGAGUUGUUAAUGGUGUACAGUAUAAGAUAUAAAGUUCAGAAGGAUUGAGUUGUUAAUGGUGUAUAAUAUAUAGAGUUCAGAAGGAUUGAGUUGUUAAUGGUGUAUAAUAUAUAGAGUUCAGAAGGAUUGAGUUGUUAAUGGUAUAUAAGAUAUAGAGUUCAGAAUGAUUGUUGUUUAUGGUAUAUAAGAUAUAGAGUUCAGAAGGAUUGAGUUGUUAAUGGUGUAUAAGAUAUAGAGUUCAGAAUGAUUGUUGUUUAUGGUAUAUAAGAUAUAGCAGCAUAUGCUAAAUGGAUAUGGGGGGGGAAAGCUGUACUGUGUCCAAACUAAAACAAGAGAGAGGUGGAGGGUUGAUGACAGUGGCAAAAGGGAGGGACAGAAAAGAAGGGAGAGGAGAGAGAAGAG